rnacentral:rRNA from 1 species
CAGUAGCCGCGGUAAUACGUAGGUGGCAAGCGUUGUCCGGAAUUAUUGGGCGUAAAGGGCUCGCAGGCGGUUUCUUAAGUCUGAUGUGAAAGCCCCCGGCUCAACCGGGGAGGGUCAUUGGAAACUGGGAAACUUGAGUGCAGAAGAGGAGAGUGGAAUUCCACGUGUAGCGGUGAAAUGCGUAGAGAUGUAGAGGAACACCAGUGGCGAGGGCGACUCUCUGGUCUGUAACUGACGCUGAGGAGCGAAAGCGUGGGGAGCGAACAGGAUUAGAUACCCCAGUAGUCCCUGUCUCUUAUAC